AAAGUCGUAACAAGGUUUCCGUAGGUGAACCUGCGGAAGGAUCAUUACCUUUCAAUGCAGCAGUCUGGGGAGGGUGAGUCGCUCUUGCAGCCAUUCCCCUCUCGAUACUGCCUGUAUUACACCCUUGUCUCUCAAAUACUACUUGUUUCCUCGGCAGGCUUGCCUGCCGGUUGGAUCAACCUAUAACCCUUUUAAUUUUCAAUCAGCGUCUGAACAAGUUAAUAAUUACAACUUUCAACAACGGAUCUCUUGGUUCUG
rnacentral:misc_RNA from 1 species